GAUGAACGCUGGCGGCGUGCUUAACACAUGCAAGUCGAACGAAGCAUUUGCGACAGAUUUUUUCGGAAUGAAGUUGCUUAUGACUGAGUGGCGGACGGGUGAGUAACGCGUGGGUAACCUGCCUUGUACUGGGGGAUAGCAGCUGGAAACGGCUGGUAAUACCGCAUAAGCGCACAAUGUUGCAUGACAUGGUGUGAAAAACUCCGGUGGUAUAAGAUGGACCCGCGUCUGAUUAGCUAGUUGGUGAGAUAACAGCCCACCAAGGCGACGAUCAGUAGCCGACCUGAGAGGGUGACCGGCCACAUUGGGACUGAGACACGGCCCAGACUCCUACAGGAGGCAGCAGUGGGGAAUAUUGCACAAUGGAGGAAACUCUGAUGCAGCGACGCCGCGUGAGUGAAGAAGUAAUUCGUUAUGUAAAGCUCUAUCAGCAGGGAAGAUAGUGACGGUACCUGACUAAGAAGCUCCGGCUAAAUACGUG
rnacentral:rRNA from 1 species